GUCUGCAUGGAGCCGACCUUGAAAUACCACCCUUUAAUGUUUGAUGUUCUAACGUGGACCCGUUACCCGGGUUGCGGACAGUGUCUGGUGGGUAGUUUGACUGGGGCGGUCUCCUCCUAAAGAGUAACGGAGGAGCACGAAGGUUGGCUAAUCCUGGUCGGACAUCAGGAGGUUAGUGCAAUGGCAUAAGCCAGCUUGACUGCGAGCGUGACGGCGCGAGCAGGUGCGAAAGCAGGUCAUAGUGAUCCGGUGGUUCUGAAUGGAAGGGCCAUCGCUCAACGGAUAAAAGGUACUCCGGGGAUAACAGGCUGAUACCGCCCAAGAGUUCAUAUCGACGGCGGUGUUUGGCACCUCGAUGUCGGCUCAUCACAUCCUGGGGCUGAAGUAGGUCCCAAGGGUAUGGCUGUUCGCCAUUUAAAGUGGUACGCGAGCUGGGUUUAGAACGUCGUGAGACAGUUCGGUCCCUAUCUGCCGUGGGCGCUGGAGAACUGAGGGGGGCUGCUCCUAGUACGAGAGGACCGGAGUGGACGCAUCACUGGUGUUCGGGUUGUCAUGCCAAUGGCACUGCCCGGUAGCUAAAUGCGGAAGAGAUAAGUGCUGAAAGCAUCUAAGCACGAAACUUGCCCCGAGAUGAGUUCUCCCUGAGACUUAGAGUCUCCUGAAGGAACGUUGAAGACGACGACGUUGAUAGGCCGGGUGUGUAAGCGCAGCGAUGCGUUGAGCUAACCGGUACUAAUGAACCGUGAGGCUUAACCUUACAACGCCGAAG
rnacentral:rRNA from 2 species